UAUUCCUUGUACGUGAUUAGUACCAACGCCAGGACCGACAACUGUCCGCACCGCCGCAGUCUAAGGCCUCAACUGGCAACCCGAUUGCUGUCAGAGCAGUCUCCGACGUCUCUCGAAACCUCUUUCUUCUUCUCGUUCUACAGAUCGCGUGGUUGAGCCGCUUACCCACCACCGGUUUGAUUCCUCAGACGUACACUGCGACCAGCGUCGUCGUUUGCCAUCGCCCCCGUGACUGGAAACUUUGUCGCCACCGUCUACAUCUGAAAACUCCGUUGGAGUGUAUGCCACAGGUGUUGCUUUAGCAAAUUGUCGUGAGCCUUUCCAAAGAGACCAAGUAUAUUUAGUGUAGAUGAGUAAUUUCACGAAGAAGAAAUUUGUACACAUUUUGCAUCGACAGAGUUUUUUCAAGGGGAAGCUCAAAAUGCAAGGGAAUUAUUGCAUAAGUGCUGGCGAUAGUAAGCUCAGUGUUGAAAUGCUAGUUAUUGAUGAGAUUGUGCCAACACUUUUACAUGCAUUGGAGGAUGAUGAAACUUCUGAUACUGUACUCGAUGGUCUUAAGCAAAUUUUAAGG